AGCUGGUCCAAAGGUAGUGAGUUAUCUCAAUUGAUUGUUCACAGUCAGUUACAGAUCGAACUCCUUGUUCUACUCUUUCCCCGCUUCUCACUACUGCACUUGACUAGUCUUUU
rnacentral:Y_RNA from 1 species